AUUGAACGCUGGCGGCAUGCCUUACACAUGCAAGUCGAACGGCAGCACGGGUGCUUGCACCUGGUGGCGAGUGGCGAACGGGUGAGUAAUACAUCGGAACGUACCUUAUCGUGGGGGAUAACGCAGCGAAAGCUGUGCUAAUACCGCAUACGCCCUGAGGGGGAAAGCGGGGGAUCGAAAGACCUCGCGCGAUUAGAGCGGCCGAUGCCUGAUUAGCUUGUUGGUGGGGUAAAAGCCCACCAAGGCGACGAUCAGUAGCUGGUCUGAGAGGACGAUCAGCCACACUGGGACGGAGACACGGCCCAGACUCCUACGGGAGGCAGCAGUGGGGAAUUUUGGACGAUGGGGGCAACCCUGAUCCAGCAAUGCCGCGUGAGUGAAGAAGGCCUUCGGGUUGUAAAACUCUUUUGUCAGGGAAGAAACACCGGCUCUAACACAGUCCGGGAAUGACGGUACCUGAAGAAUAAGUACCGGCUAACUACGUGCCAGCCGCCGCCGUAA
rnacentral:rRNA from 1 species